rnacentral:rRNA from 1 species
ACUGAACGCUGGCGGCAUGCCUUACACAUGCAAGUCGAACGGUAACAGGUCUUUCGGGAUGCUGACGAGUGGCGAACGGGUGAGUAAUACAUCGGAACGUGCCUAGUAGUGGGGGAUAACUACUCGAAAGAGUGGCUGAUACCGCAUGAGAUCUAUGGAUGAAAGCAGGGGACCUUCGGGCCUUGUGCUACUAGAGCGGCCGAUGGCAGAUUAGGUAGUUGGUGGGAUAAAAGCUUACCAAGCCUACGAUCUGUAGCUGGUCUGAGAGGACGAUCAGCCACACUGGGACUGAGACACGGCCCAGACUCCUACGGGAGGCAGCAGUGGGGAAUUUUGGACAAUGGGCGCAAGCCUGAUCCAGCAAUGCCGCGUGCAGGAUGAAGGCCUUCGGGUUGUAAACUGCUUUUGUACGGAACGAAAAGUCUUGGGUUAAUACCCUGGGAUCAUGACGGUACCGUAAGAAUAAGCACCGGCUAACUACGUGCCAGCCGCCGCCGUAAUAC